UACGUAGGUGGCAAGCGUUGUCCGGAUUUAUUGGGUUUAAAGGGUGCGUAGGCGGUCCUAUAAGUCAGUGCUGAAAUAUCCCGGCUUAACCGGGAGGGUGGCAUUGAUACUGCAGGACUUGAGUAAAGUUGAGGUAGGCGGAAUUGACGGUGUAGCGGUGAAAUGCUUAGAUAUCGUCAAGAACACCGAUAGUGUAGACAGCUUACUAAGCUUUAACUGACGCUGAGGCACGAAAGUGUGGGGAGCAAACAGG
rnacentral:rRNA from 1 species